rnacentral:tRNA from 2 species
UGCCCCAUGGUGUAAAGGUAGCACACCGGUUUUUGGUACCGUUUGUCUUGGUUCGAAUCCAGGUGGGGCAA